rnacentral:rRNA from 1 species
UACGUAGGUGGCAAGCGUUGUCCGGAAUUAUUGGGCGUAAAGCGCGCGCAUGCGGUCCUUUAAGUCUGAUGUGAAAGCCCACGGCUCAACCGUGGAGGGUCAUUGGAAACUGGGGGACUUGAGUGCAGGAGAGAAGAGUGGAAUUCCACGUGUAGCGGUGAAAUGCGUAGAGAUGUGGAGGAACACCGAUGGCGAAGGCAGCCCCCUGGGCUGAGAUUGACGCUCAGGCACGAAAGCGUGGGGAGCGAAUGGG